GAUGAACGCUAGCGGCAGGCUUAAUACAUGCAAGUCGUGGGGCAGCAGGGGUGUAGCAAUACAUCUGCUGGCGACCGGCAAACGGGUGCGUAACACGUACGCAACCUUCCCGUUACUGUGGCAUAGCCCAGGGAAACUUGGAUUAAUACCACAUAUUAUAUAGAGAGGGCAUCCUUUUUAUAUCAAAGCUUCGGCGGUAACGGAUGGGCGUGCGGUUGAUUAGGUAGUUGGCGGGGUAACGGCCCACCAAGCCUACGAUCAAUAGCUGAUGUGAGGGCAUGAUCAGCCACACGGGCACUUAGACACGGGCCCGACUCCUACGGGAGGCAGCAGUAAGGAAUAUUGGGGAAUGGACAAAAGUCUGACCCAGCCAUGCCGCGUGAAGGAUUAAGGUCCUCUGGAUUGUAAACUUCUUUUCUCUGGGGCGAAAACCAGCUAUUCUUAGCUAUUUGACAGUACCAGAGGAAUAAGCACCGGCUAACUCCGUGCCAGCCGCCGCGGUAAUAC
rnacentral:rRNA from 1 species